GCACCUACGGGGGGCAGCAGUGAGGAAUAUUGGUCAAUGGCCGAGAGGCUGAACCAGCCAAGUCGCGUGAGGGAAGACAGCCCUACGGGUUGUAAACCUCUUUUGUCGGGGAGCAAAGCGAGUCACGUGUGACUCAUUGAGAGUACCCGAGGAAAAAGCAUCGGCUAACUCCGUGCCAGCAGCCGCGGUAAUACGGAGGAUGCGAGCGUUAUCCGGAUUUAUUGGGUUUAAAGGGUGCGCAGGCGGAAUGUCAAGUCAGCGGUAAAAUUUCGGGGCCCAACCCCGUCGUGCCGUUGAAACUGGCG
rnacentral:rRNA from 1 species